UUUAAUAUAAUAAAUAUUCAAAAUUAAUGGUAAUAGAUAUUACCGUUGUACGUUAAUACUAAUAAUAUAUUUUAAGCAAUCGUUUAGGACACGAUGAAAAUUUUAAUAAUUUUAUUACUCUCGAUUAAAGUAGCACACGUAUUAGAACUCAAUGAUACCACUAAUCAUAUUAUCAACAAAGGACUUAUAUGCAAUGAUAAACAAUAUGAUGCGGACAAGUGUCCGUACGAAUUCACAAGUACGAGUAGUUUAUCAACAUGUGAAGACGCCACUGAUUAUCAGUAUAAUAACACUUGCACUGAUUCAACAAAAGUUAACAAAAAUAAAAUGAAAGCCCGAUUAAAAUUUCUGUGUAUAAUCACUACCGUGGCCCUCGUCAUCACCCUCACUGCAAUGGCUUUCGUCAUCGGCCUCGCCAUACCUGUCGUCGUCGCAAUCGAUGUGGUCGUCGUCACAAUCGAUGCGGUCGUCGUCCUCGUGGGCUAGCCGUGUCUGUUGUUGUCGCAGUCGCUGUGGCUAUCGUCGUCGGCGUCGCAGUGGCUGCUGUUGUCACAAUGGCUGUCGUCAAAGUUGCUGUGGCUGUAGUCAACGUCGCCGUGGCUGUCAUCGUGGCAGUAUAAUAAUGGACCCACUAGAAGAAACUGCUGUGUGUAAAAGAUGUGGGUAUUUCAUUCUUAACCAUGCAGCUAAAGUGCCAGAGUAAUAUCCUCCAAAUGCUAUCCAUUUAGCUGUAAACGACUUCAAUCGUGCUGACUGCUGAUAAUGGUCAACUGGCUCGGAAAUGGACAUCCGACAGUGAUGAUAAUUGACAUUGAUAUCUUCCAACAAAAUUACGACAGAAAGAACUCAAAAAAAGGGUACGAUUUGAUAAGCGAUGUCCGUAUAAUGAAAAAGUGAUAAUAAAAUUUAUAAUAGUGUCCAAACUGUUUUGAAACAAUUUCACUCGCGACUCAUGCGUUUAUAAGAAAUCAUUUCCUUUUUAUUUCAACUACGAGGUCAACGCUCGAACACAAUUGAAUGUUUUGUAUAUGUUAAUAAAUUAAUAAAAUGCAGUUUGUAUUUUUAUAUUAGACACAAAAUGAGUAGGCACCUAUACUUACUUAGGGGUACAAGCAAUAUAAUACGAUGUAUUCAACAUAGUUUCUGUUAGUAAAUGGACGUAAAAAAAAAAGGUGGGAAAGUGGAUGUCACUAUGCUGUACAGUAGGUUACAAGUAGGUCACUGUAUAAUUAAAGG